CUCAGCCCAUCCCGUCUUCCGCACUUCUACUUCCAGACCCGACAAGAAGAGUUGAAGAAGAUCUCCAGACGACGACAGUCUCACCGCGAACGUCCUGACAAGAAACUCGAGUUCGAAGAUGAAGCUGGCCUUGUGUGGUGUCCUUUUCCUGUGCUGCGUGGUGCUGGCCGCGGCCGUGCCUGCACGUCGUGAGGAGGAGCUGCUGUCUGAUUUAAAAGACUUGGUGGCCGGACUGAAAGAAGACCUGCAGGUGGAAAUGGAGAUGCGAGACCAGGAGGCUGACGAGGACAUGCUAGACCUGCAGGAGAUGGAGCUGGAGAAGCGCCAGCUAUGCAACUAUCGGUGCGGCCCUAGGCCCUCGGAAAGUUGUUGGCAGAAGUGCAUUUAUGGCGUUGGGAGGGGAUAGUUCCAUUGUGUUGUUACAUAAAUAGACGAUAAAGGCUUUGAUACACGACCAAAGGGGUGUUUACCUGUUUUCCUGGUACUUCUGCUACAUUUCUCGAGACAAUAAAGGCAAACCUAGCGGUGAGAAGUACACCCUAAUACCAUUGCCCUGAGGGAGGCAACAGCAAUCUCCAAGCAGAUUCUGCGGUAGCAUAAGAUGUAGUAUCAAAAACUGCCAGAGGAGUGAAGUCGGCCUAGCGGUGUGCUUCGCUAUCAGUGGCUGAUGACUCCCUUUGGCCAGCUUUGAUUCUAUCUUAUGCCACUGGUAAAUCUGCCUGGAGAUUAGGCAACACAGGUACCGACACGCCGGCAGGUAAAUUCCUCAUGCUUGUGUGAAAGGCUUUAUCAUCAUAAAAACGCAAGACCAACCGAAGAAAUAUCACAAAUGAAAUCAAAGUUUGAAACAAUCUUUUGACCGUUGAUUCAUCGAAUUUCGUUACUAAUACCAGCAGGGUAAUUUGGGUGAUUAUCAAUUGAAUAACAUUUAAGAUAACAUUAAAUAAAGUUUGAUAAGAAUUCCCAGACGUGCACGUCUCAUUAAGCAAGGGAAUGGUGGUGAAUGUUUCAAUAUGAAAGGUGAAUAAAACUGGACUACUUUAAAACCA